AAUAAAAUAAAGAAAAA
rnacentral:sRNA from 1 species